AGAGUUUGAUCAUGGCUCAGAAUCAACGCUGGCGGCGUGCCUAACACAUGCAAGUCGAACGCGAAAGCCCCGCAAGGGGCAAGUAGAGUGGCAAACGGGUGAGUAACACGUGGGUGACCUGCCUUCGAGUGGGGGAUAACGUCCCGAAAGGGACGCUAAUACCGCAUGACAUCCUGCCUUUGAAGAGGCGGAGAUCAAAGCUGGGGAUCGCAAGACCUAGCGCUUGAAGAGGGGCCCGCGUCCGAUUAGCUAGUUGGUGAGGUAACGGCUCACCAAGGCAACGAUCGGUAGCCGGCCUGAGAGGGCGGACGGCCACACUGGGACUGAGACACGGCCCAGACUCCUACGGGAGGCAGCAGUGGGGAAUUGUUCGCAAUGGGCGCAAGCCUGACGACGCAACGCCGCGUGGAGGAUGAAGAUCUUCGGGUCGUAAACUCCUGUCGAAUGGGACGAACGGGUUGCGGGUUAACAUCCCGCGACCGUGACGGUACUGUUAAAGGAAACCCCGGCUAACUCCGUGCCAGCAGCCGCGGUAAUACGGGGGGGGUAAGCGUUGUUCGGAAUUACUGGGCGUAAAGGGCUCGUAGGCGGCCAACUAAGUCAUACGUGAAAUCCCUCAGCUUAACUGGGGAACUGCGUGUGAUACUGGAUGGCUUGGAUUUGGGAGAGGGAUGCGGAAUUCCAGGUGUAGCGGUGAAAUGCG
rnacentral:rRNA from 1 species